rnacentral:rRNA from 1 species
CGUACACUCCUACGGGAGGCAGCAGUGGGGAAUAUUGGACAAUGGGCGCAAGCCUGAUCCAGCCAUGCCGCGUGAGUGAUGAAGGCCCUAGGGUUGUAAAGCUCUUUCACCGGUGAAGAUAAUGACGGUAACCGGAGAAGAAGCCCCGGCUAACUUCGUGCCAGCAGCCGCGGUAAUACGAAGGGGGCUAGCGUUGUUCGGAUUUACUGGGCGUAAAGCGCACGUAGGCGGACUAUUAAGUCAGGGGUGAAAUCCCGGGGCUCAACCCCGGAACUGCCUUUGAUACUGGUAGUCUUGAGUUCGAGAGAGGUGAGUGGAAUUCCGAGUGCAGAGGUGAAAUUCGUAGAUAUUCGGAGGAACACCAGUGGCGAAGGCGGCUCACUGGCUCGAUACUGACGCUGAGGUGCGAAAGCGUGGGGAGCAAACAGGAUUAGAAACCCCUGUAGUCCCAUGA